CAACUCUACACAUGGCAGUGC
rnacentral:miRNA from 1 species